rfam:Oryza meridionalis cultivar OR44 (W2112) chromosome 4, whole genome shotgun sequence.
AACCACACUAUCAGUGAAUGGAUUCGCCCAUUAUAUGAUGUGGUUGUUCCACUUAGGACGAGGACGUGGCAUUCUAAUAUCAACCAUCUCAUGAAAUUAAUAGUAUGCCAUGUUCUCAUCCUAGGUGAAAUAGCCACGUCAUCUCACGGGUGAAUCUAUUCAUUGAUAGUGUGGUU